AGUCAAUUACCAUUUUUCAUGCAUUUUGUUUCUCUGUGAAAAAGCACAAGCAUGGUCCUGAAGAAGAGUAUGAUGCUCCCUUAUUUCUGUCCUGUGGAGACUCAGUGUAAUCAAGAGUGACACAGCAAAACAGCGUCUUGCACUAACAAGAGCACACGGAAUCCUUCCUCCACUGCCUGUGAGGAAAGCAAACUGAAGUCGCGUUGCAGCAGUCCCUCUUACGUGAUCGACAGGCCUUUGUGGUCCAUUCGGUUCUCAGCUGUUCUCCUUAGGACUAGAAGCAACUGACUCGGUGGUGAUACAGUUUUCCCCAGACUAAACAUCACUUGGAGACUUCUGCAUUCAAAGUCAGAAUUCUAUGCCAGUGUUGCCAAAAUAUAGGACAAAAAAAGGACAGAACCUCAGAUCCCCCUCAGUACUAGGAGAAGGAACCCAGAAAUGUUGGUCCAUCACAGGUCAGAUAAGUGAGCAGCAGUCCAGUAGCUAAACGGGCAGAGCAUUUGGCAAGAUAAGGGGGAACCAGCACAGAAACAUGGGUGACAUCUCAGUGGAAUUGCAAAAGGAAAUGAGAACAAUGAUCAGUAAAUUAAAUGGAGCUGAAGAGACAAAUUCAAAGAGGAUAAUGCUGCUUAUAAGCCUUCAGGGCUGAUACAGAGAUAUGAUCUCUGAGCAAUAAAGGGAAUCAUGAGGAGACAUGAGGCAAUAGAUAUUUGUAGGGAGACCAUGAGAUUACAGGAGCUCUGUGAGAUAGCUCAUGCAGACUACGUGCCAUCCUCAAGUACCUCAGUAUGGCCCUCCUCAUACACACAGGCAGAUUCAUAAGGACACAUCACAGAACAGCCUCAACAUGUAUUAGAUUGUCCCAUUUUCUCCUCCCCAUUCUACAGUUAGACCAUAGCUAGGACCAGGAGAACAGAAACCAAAAUAUAGCACAUUUCCACUCUUCACAGUGCUUGACAGUGGAUGGACUAUGUAUGUUUUUUGUUUACAGUUGUUUUGGUCUGGUGCUGCCAGACAUAGUUAUUGCAGACAGGCUGCUUGUUUGUUGUUAAAUAAAGUUGCUUUUCUAUCUCUUUGUCAUGAUGUUAUGUGACAAAUUGAUGUUACAUGACAUUAAGAACAGUGAUACUGAGAACAGUCAUACUGGCAAUGAUAUGGAAACAAAAUGAAUGUAUUACCCUUCAAAUCAGAAAAUGAAAGCCUAACAUUCCCUAGAGCACAGGUGGCAUUUCGGCGGCAACGCCUCUGGAUGCUGCUGCUUGUCAGCGGCAUUUUGGCAGAUGCUCGUUCACCGGCCAGUACGCGGGCGCACUUAGACACCCCGGCGGGCGCCACUGCACCCACAGGCACUACGUUGGGGACCCCUGCCCGAGAAGAUACUAUAUCCUAACUAUUGUCACCUGCAGAAUCUAUUGUAUUUACACAGAAGCAUUUGAGUAACAUUGCUCAUAAAUUAAUGCAUAUUAUCCAUCAAAAUACAUGGAGACAUACAGUAACUAGAACUCAUGAAAACAAAACCAUCCCAAAACACCAUGCAAAAGCAAAUUUGAAAUGCAAACAGUACAUUAAGCAUGGUUCAAACCUCACCAUUCUCCUGGACAACAACUACCACAUCACAUACUCCCUUCAUUUCCAAAAUAAGUAUGUAGAUUACCUUUAAUAAGGGUAACAUGCCUGGUACUGAGAGUGGCAUAACAGACCUUUGGUGCAUGUCUGGCUAUAUAUAAUCAGCAACAAGGUUUGAAACCUCUUCAGCCUACAAUGUGUUAAACAAUACAUCCUUGCUUUCAUAAAUUUUAUGUAGAACGUAAGAAGUGGUUACGUACAAACACUUACUACUUCUCUCCAAAUGUAUAGCCUUGAUACACAUCCUUCUUUCUAUAUGCAGACAGAAGGAGAAACACAGUAUCUCCUAUAAACCCAGAACUGAGUAAGCCUCCAGGGUUGUGCCUAGACACAGAAACGUUCCAAAUUUAGCCUCUAAUGUAAAGACAUCCUGUGAACAACAGCUAAAGGCUAAGUCGUGAGAGAAUUUAGAACUUUUGUCCCAAAACAUGUAACAGACACAUAUAUACUGGGCCUGGACUGAUGUUCAGAGACUGAAAGCAAGUAAUAGCUCUUUGUAAAAGCACGAGGCAGAGACAAUGAAGCUAUUUAUGAUUUGAGAUUACUAA